GUAGCAGUCUUCAAAGCCAUCAAAGAACUCACACAGAGGAGAAACCUUUUGAAUGCUUAGAGUGUGGAAAGAGGUUCAGUCAGAAUGACCAUCUUAAAACCUAUCAAUGAAUCCACAUGAGAAAGAAAUCUUUUGAAUUUACAGUGUGGUGAGAGAUUCAGUUACCGUUGCAGUUUUCAGAAGCAUCCAAAAAAAAUCCCACAGGGAGAAACCUUUUGAAUGUGGAAAGACAUUUAGUCAUGGUGGCAGUGUGCAAAAGUGUAAAAGAACUUACACAGAGACUUUUUGAAUGGUCAAAUAAUGUUUUAGUAGCUGAAGUAUAUCAUACCCCCCAAAGUGAGAGGUGUAUAGCCUAAAGUCGUGGGCCAUGAUAAAUGGUAGUGGGAGGUUUUAGGAAUGGCUGCCUAGUGACCCCAGGGUGUGCAAUGAUGCUUCAUUGGGUGGGGGAAUCAAAUAGACUUUUCGUCCCUCCCCCAAAGACUCCCUUUGGUAGUGGGGAAGGGCUAUUGCAAUGAUGGGAUGGGAGUUUUAGGAGGAUUGAGGCAUGACAGCAGGCUAUGAAGUGCUGCUUUAGUGAGGAAAGGGGAAGAGUUGGCUUCUGAGACUUAGGCCCCUUCUGCACAUGCAAAAUAAUGCACUUUCAAUCCACUUUCACAACUGUUUGCAAUUAGAUUUUGCUAUUUCGUGCAGUAAAAUCCAGCUGCAAAGUGCACUGAAAAUGGAUUGAAAGUGCAUUAUUCUGCAUGUGUGGAAGGAACCUUACAGUUUUUGAGAGUAAAAUGUGCAUUUGCAAAGGAGUAUGUUUGCAAAGGGGUUGUUUGCAGAAUUUUUUUAGCUAUAGACUUUUUGAUUAGCAUGUGCUUAGAACACAACAAAGGGACUUGGAAAAUAGCACGCUCUUUUGUAAUGUGACUUUCUUUAUGUUUUAGAUUAGCUUUUUAUUAUGUCUUUUAGAACAUUUUAAGGAAAUGUACAAAUCAAAUAUAUUUGGUAAAAGAAA